AGAGUUUGAUCAUGGCUCAGAACGAACGCUGGCGGCAGGCUUAACACAUGCAAGUCGAACGCCCUUCUUCGGAAGGGAGUGGCAGACGGGGGAGUAACGCGUGGGAACCUAAUAGUACGGAAUAACUCAGAGACAUCUGUGCUAAUACCGUAUACGCCCUUCGGGGGAAAGAUUUAUCGCUAUUAGAUGGGCCCGCGUUGGAUUAGCUAGUUGGUGGGGUAACGGCCUACCAAGGCGACGAUCCAUAGCUGGUCUGAGAGGAUCUUCCCCCACACUGGUACUGAGACACGGACCAGACUCCUACGGGAGGCAGCAGUAAGGAAUAUUGGGCAAUGGACGAAAGUCUGACCCAGCCAUGCCGCGUGCAGGAAGACUGCCCUAUGGGUUGAAAACUGCUUUUAUACGGGAAGAAACACCGCUACGUGUAGCGGCUUGACGGUACUGUAAGAAUAAGGAUCGGCUAACUCCGUGCCAGCAGCCGCGGUAAUACGGAGGAUCCAAGCGUUAUCCGGAAUCAUUGGGUUUAAAGGGUCCGUAGGUGGAUAAUUUAGUCAGAGGUGAAAUCCUGCAGCUUAACUGUAGAAUUGCCUUUGAUACUGGUUAUCUUGAGUUAUUAUGAAGUAGUUAGAAUAUGUAGUGUAGCGGUGAAAUGCAUAGAUAUUACAUAGAAUACCAAUUGCGAAGGCAGAUUACUAAUAAUAUACUGACACUGAUGGACGAAAGCGUGGGGAGCGAACAGGAUUAGAUACCCUGGUAGUCCACGCCGUAAACGAUGGUCACUAGCUGUUUGGACCUUGUGUCUGAGUGGCUAAGCGAAAGUGAUAAGUGACCCACCUGGGGAGUACGUUCGCAAGAAUGAAACUCAAAGGAAUUGACGGGGGCCCGCACAAGCGGUGGAGCAUGUGGUUUAAUUCGAAGCAACGCGAAGAACCUUACCCGCUCUUGACAUCCACAGAACUUUCCAGAGAUGGAUCGGUGCCUUCGGGAACUGUGAGACAGGUGCUGCAUGGCUGUCGUCAGCUCGUCUUGUGAAAUGUUGGGUUAAGUCCCGUAACGAGCGCAACCCUUGUCCUUAUUUGCCAGCACGUAAUGGUGGGAACUCUAAGGAGACUGCCGGUGACAAACCGGAGGAAGGUGGGGACGACGUCAAGUCAUCAUGGCCCUUACGAGCGGGGCUACACACGUGCUACAAUGGCCAGGACAAA
rnacentral:rRNA from 1 species